UACGUAGGGUGCGAGCGUUAAUCGGAAUUACUGGGCGUAAAGCGUGCGCAGGCGGCCCUGUAAGUCCGCUGUGAAAGUCAAGGGCUCAACCCUUGGAUGCCGGUGGAUACUGCAGGGCUAGAGUCCGGAAGAGGCGAGUGGAAUUCCUGGUGUAGCGGUGAAAUGCGCAGAUAUCAGGAAGAACACCCGUGGCGAAAGCGGCUCUCUGGAACGGUACUGACGCUGAGACGCGAAAGCGUGGGGAGCGAACAGG
rnacentral:rRNA from 1 species